rnacentral:rRNA from 1 species
CCUACGGGUGGCAGCAGUGGGGAAUAUUGGGCAAUGGGCGCAAGCCUGACCCAGCAACGCCGCGUGAAGGAAGAAGGCUUUCGGGUUGUAAACUUCUUUUGUCAGGGACGAAGCAAGUGACGGUACCUGACGAAUAAGCCACGGCUAACUUAGUGCCAGCAGCCGCGGUAAUACGUAGGUGGCAAGCGUUAUCCGGAUUUACUGGGUGUAAGGGGCGUGUAGGCGGGACUGCAAGUCAGAUGUGAAAACCCCGGGCUCAACCUGUGGCCUGCAUUUGAUACUGUAGUUCUAGAGUGCUGGAGAGGCAGACGGAAGUCCUAGUGUAGCGGUGAAAUGCGUAGAUAUUAGGAGGAACACCAGUGGCGAAGGCGGUCUGCUGGACAGCAACUGACGCUGAGGCGCGAAAGCGUGGGGAGCAAACAGGAUUAGAUACCCGAGUAGUC